rnacentral:rRNA from 1 species
CCUACGGGAUGCUGCAGUGGGGAAUAUUGGACAAUGGGCGAAAGCCUGAUCCAGCCAUGCCGCGUGUGUGAAGAAGGCCUUCGGGUUGUAAAGCACUUUCAGUGGGGAAGAAAGCCUUGGGGCUAAUACCCUCGAGGAAGGACAUCACCCACAGAAGAAGCACCGGCUAACUCCGUGCCAGCAGCCGCGGUAAUACGGAGGGUGCGAGCGUUAAUCGGAAUUACUGGGCGUAAAGCGCGCGUAGGCGGUCUGAUAAGCCGGUUGUGAAAGCCCCGGGCUCAACCUGGGAACGGCAUCCGGAACUGUCAGGCUAGAGUGCAGGAGAGGAAGGUAGAAUUCCCGGUGUAGCAGUGAAAUGCGUAGAGAUCGGGAGGAAUACCAGUGGCGAAGGCGGCCUUCUGGACUGACACUGACGCUGAGGUGCGAAAGCGUGGGUAGCAAACAGGAUUAGAUACCCCAGUAGUC